UUUUUUCUCGUGCAUCACGUAUACUCUGGGGGUUAAUUUCACUCUUUUGACUCUUUUUCUACUCACAUUUUCCGAGCAUUUUAUAUCUGUUAGAGUCUUAGGUCUCGGCAAGUGCAUUCUUCUCUUUUGUGUUUUCUUUUCUUUUUUUUUCUUUUUUUUUUCUUUUUUUUUUCUUUUAAAGAAAAUACAUACUAUUUUUG
rnacentral:lncRNA from 1 species